rnacentral:rRNA from 1 species
AGAGCUCAGCGCUGAAUCUCUCGGUCUUAGACUGCUGAGAAUUGUAGCGUAUAGUUGCGGUCUAUCAGUUGUUCUAUUUGUUCGAAGUUCCUUUAAUUGGGACCAUAAUCCUAAGAGGGUGCGAGACCCGUACGGACUUUAGUUCAGCUGAUAUCUCUGUAACUCGGAGUCGGGUUGCUUGAAAGUGCAGCCUUAAGCCGGUGAUAAACUUCAUCGAAAGCUAAAUAUUGUAAGGAAUGCGAUAGCAAACAAGUACCGUGAGGGAAAGUUGCAAAGAACUUUGAAGAGAGAGUUCAAGAGAACGUGAAAUCCCUGAAGUUGAAGCAGAACGAGUCGAAAUUGUUAAGCAGUGAAGUGGUUUGGUUAUACCGUCCAUGUAGCUGUGGUACUGCGCUGGUUGCGCUGUCCGAGCUCUCCUGACUAGUCAGUGUUGCCCACCCUUGUGGUGGUGUCUUGCUUUCUGGAAUGGUUUGCCGUGUCAGUGUUUAGCUUGCCCUUUGGGUGAGAACCGGUGUUAAUGUCGAUCACCGUUCUGUCCCGUCUUGAAACACGGACCGAGGAGUGUAACUUGUGCGCGAGUCAGAGGGUGUUAAACCUUACGGCGAAAUGAAAGUAAAGGUCGAUUAAUCGGCUGAGAUGGGAUCCUUGCUUUACGGCUUGGCGCACCAUCGCCCUGUCUCGAAAGCUUGCUUUUGGGCAGAGGUAGAGCGUACAGGUUGCGACCCGAAAGAUGGUGAACUAUGCUUGAGCAGAACGAAGCCAGAGGAAACUCUGGUGGAAGUUCGUAUCGGUUCUGACGUGCAAAUCGAUCGAUAGACUUGAGUAUAGGGGCGAAAGACUAAUCGAACCAUCUAGUAGCU